CUGGCGUUGAGGACAAGGUUCCUGGCGUUGAGGACAAGGUUCCUGGCGCUGAGGACCAGGUUCCUGGCGGUGAGGACAAGGUUCCUGGCGUUGAGGACAAGGUUCCUGGCGUUGAGGACAAGGUUCCUGGCGGUGAGGACAAGGUUCCUGGCGCUGAGGACAAGGUUUCUGGCGCUGAGGACGAGGUUCCUGGCGGUGAGGACGAGGUUGCUGCGGGUGAGGACAAGGUUCCUGGCGGUGAGGACAAGGUUCCUGGCGCUGAGGACGAGGUUCCUGGCGGUGAGGACGAGGUUGCUGGCGUUGAGGACAAGGUUCUCUAGAGGGUCACUAGGUUUUUUUAGAAACCCUGAAUGAUAAAUAUAAAUAUAUAUAACACAAUACAAUACCUUGUGAAUCUUCGUCCACAGUCUUCUUCUUUUCCACGAGUGCUCCACAUUGAGCAUUGAACAAAAAUAAAAUGUGCGAACAUGUUUUGGGGCAGAUACUGAUGGGACUAGCUAAGCGUUUAUCUCACGCAUUGAGUCCUAACUACCUUAAUCUGACGAGGUCAUUACGCUCGUUUCUCAUAUCAUCCUAAACUAGCCCUAAGAGAGGCCUAAGCAUGUUUUCAUGCACACACUUAAAUUUUGGAUGAUGUGCGAGUUUUGAAAUGAAGGCAGACGAGCUGGGCUCUUCUCGUCUCCUUGUCUCUGAAAUCUUGCGUCCUGACGACGACUGAGUAUGAAAAAAAUCGGGC